CUCUGUCCCUCCUCUACAGGCUGCAGCUGAUUGAUGACCUGACGUAUGAAGAUGUCAAGAAAUGCUACAGGGGCUCGACCGUCAGCAAGUACAACUCCCAGUACCACAAGCUGUUCCAGAGCGUCCCCAAGGAGGAGAUCCUUAUGAAAGUGGCCGGUUUCCACAUCAUCUCCCGACGUCCUCAGACAUGGAAGGACGUUGAAUACUGACUUGUAUCACAGGUGACCUGGCUGCCCGUGGGCUAGCAGUAACACACCCGGCUUAGAAAGGUCACGACUGGGGGUUCAAUUCCCAGCUCCAACCCUUCAAUCUGUUUCUCCCACCUAUCUGUAUCACCUCUGUCAUGUCAUACUUAUUUCAAAAUAUAUUAGAAAAAAAUUAUGCAUGUCAUUUUCAGUGAUUUGUUCAUUUAAUUUUACCAAAAUAAUGUACAUCUUAAUAUGUUGCUCAAAAUGUAAG